rnacentral:rRNA from 1 species
UCGCCCGCCGCGCCCCGCGGCCCGGCCCGCCGCCCCCGCCCCGCAUCGAUGAAGAACGCAGCGGAAUGCGAUAAGUAGUGUGAAUUGCAGAUUUCAGUGAAUCAUCGAAUCUUUGAACGCACAUUGCGCCCUUUGGUAUUCCGAAGGGCAUGCCUGUCUGAGCGUCAAUAAAUCAAUCAAACCUUGGUUUGGUAUUGGGAGAAGUGGCAUUGCCUCUCUCCUUUAAGCUAUUGGCGACGCUAUUUCAGCUUGUGAGACGUAGUAAGUAAUUUCUCGUUAAAGCAACUGUAUAGAUGUCUGCCAACUGAACGAUUUAUUUUACAGCCUGACCUCAGAUCAGGUAGGAUACCCCCUGAACUUAAGCAUAUCAAUAAGCGGAGGAAA